UACAGGGGGGGCAAGCGUUGUUCGGAAUUACUGGGCGUAAAGGGCUCGUAGGUGGCCAACUAAGUCAGACGUGAAAUCCCUCAGCUUAACUGGGGAACUGCGUCUGAUACUGGAUGGCUUGAGUUUGGGAGAGGGAUGCGGAAUUCCAGGUGUAGCGGUGAAAUGCGUAGAUAUCGAGAGGAACACCUGCGGCGAAGGCGGGUUGCUGGGCUGACACUGACGCUGAGGCGCGAAAGCCAGGGGAGCGAACGGG
rnacentral:rRNA from 1 species